rnacentral:tRNA from 1 species
GGGUGAUUAGCUCAGCUGGGAGAGCAUCUCCCUUACAAGGAGAGGGUCGGCGGUUCGAUCCCGUCAUAACCCACCA